GUCUACAGCCAUACUACCCUGAACAUGCCUGAAGUUGGAAGCUAAGCAGGGUCAGACCUGGUUAGUACUUGGAUGGGAGAUCGCCUGGGAAAAAAGGGUGCCAUAGUAU